ensembl:lncRNA
CCCCAAUCUUCUCUCAGCUUCCCUUGGUCCGACCUCAUCCCUUCCAGUAUCACAGAAAGCGCAGGCUGGAGGACGCCUAUGAGCCUGUGGGUCUGACCUCUGGUUUUCCUGUGGCCCAGAGAGGGGUCAAGCUUGCUCAAGGUCACAUUGAGAGAGUUGGCUGAGACUCGAACUCAGAGCCUCUGACUCACAUGGCCCCUCACAGGCUCUGGAGCCCAGCCUUGUCUCCCCAGAUGCACACCACGUGCCGAGGGUGGGGCAGCUGCCUGGAUUUUCGGCCUUCCUCCCUCCCAGCGCCCAGCUUGGGCUCUGCACACGGCAAAUGCCAAAUUAAUUCCGGUUUCGUCACGGGAGGUCUUUGCGAUAACCUUCAAGCCAAAGGAUCACCCCUUGCCACCUUCCCAGUGAGGUAGGAGGGGGCGUCAGCGGCCUCACGGUGUGACCUUGGGCAAGUCUCUUACCUCCACGGGCCUGGGACCUCAGGUGACGAAAGCUGAUAAAGAUCCUUAACGAGAACACCUAGAUCUGAGUCAAGGCUUUUUUCUACAACUCUGCUGCCACCUCCAAGGAUAAAAAUCUUUGCACUGCCCUUUGAGCGUUAUUUGAAAUUCAAAAUAGGUUAAAUAACAAGAUAAAAACAAAGAAAGCAAUAAGACAAAGCUUGCUUUGUUUUCUGACUACAUUCUCUUCCCUUCCCACCAACUGAUCCUCCCCCCCAAACCUAACUCCUCCCCCUGGGGGGGGGCUCUGAAUCAUCCUUUCCCUGGCACCCCGGCACUGAGAAGUCCUCGUGGAAUGUUUGCUGAAGUUAUGAAGCGCUCUGCAGUUGGCCAGCCCUCCCAUGACGUCAUCUGAGCCUCCAACGGCCCCGCAAGGCGGGAGGGUUAGCCCGUUCACAGGGAGCGCCAAGGUUCCGAGGGAAGGGACUUGGCCAAGGUCACGUGGCAGGUAUGUGGCACGUGGCAGGUUUGCAUGCUCUGCUGAGAUGGAUGAAUCUCUGGGGGGACUCAUUCUGAAAUGUCAUGUGGAGGGGUCACUGUGUCUGCUAGUGGCCACACGCACCUCUCUCCCAGCCCCCACGGCCACUUUGACCUGGGAGACCAGCUUGCGCCCCAAUCUUCUGACAGUCCCACCUGCUACAUGCCUCUGAGACCUCCAGGAGGCCUCCACUCUGCCCACUGCAGUGGGAGGCCCUGCUGCGUUGUGGGGCAGGGACAGGGCACUGCCACUGGGGACCCGUUUUCCACGUGGAAACUGGAACCGCAGCACAGUGAAGGCUGGGCCCUCCCAGGGGAGUUGUACAGUGGAAGGUGCUGUAAUUAACCCUCAGAGCCCGGGGCAGGGCAGCCCUGCAUUCAAAUCCAACAUCCUUAUGCUAACAACUCUCAUUCUGGGGACCCUUGGUGGCAGCUAUUUGGCACUUGAUGCUGGCGAUCAGGUGUGCCCUACCUGGCCCCAGAGUAAGCUGGGCUCUGGUGUCCUUGGGGCAAGGCUCUCUCCCCUCACCAGCCCAGGAAUACACAAUGCCCAUUUUACAGGUGAAAAAACCGAGGCACACAAAGGGAAUGGACUUGACCCAGGUCACAGAGCCAAAAAAAAGUGAUGUGGCUGGAAAUCCCCCCAGGGGCGGUGUUGGAGGGGGCAGUGUUGGAGAAGGCCGUGCCCAGUGGCUGAGCAGGGGAAGAGCAGGCCUGGGAGACAGCCCAGCAGAUGCAGUGACUGCGACCUGGGCAAGGGUGGUCACCAUGCAGCCUCAGUGUCCCAGGUCCUCAUAUUUACCCUACCGAAGACAGUCAGGCCUGGGCACUGGGUAGGAGCUUACUCAGCGGUGGUAAUGACCGCAAGGACAAGGUUUGGGGCCGAAGCAGGGAGCAUGCGCUAGGAGAGGCCAACAGGGGCCGCUGUGGAGGCACACGGGGCUGGGGGAGGCCAGGGAGCUGUCCGACCCGGGUAUCGGGGUGGGCGGGGGUGGCUGCACCCCGGCGCUCACCUGGGGGUCACCCGCAGGCCGCCCACGUGCACCACCGGCACCGCCUCUCAUCCUGGAGGCCACUCGCGUGCCCACAGCCCCCUUCCCGCCAGUGUCCAGCUGUAAAAGCACUCCCGCUGCUGGAGCGGGACCCUGUCUGGGUUAGGGCUGCUCUGGCCUCAGGAAUAAGGGGUUAACUCCCGGAAGGGAGGUUUCUCAUGCCCCUCAAAGUCCAGCGCUUCAAGGUGGAGACAGGAGGAGCCCCGAAAGGGGGCAGCAAGCCGUCCAGUGUGGCAGCGGGGACCCGGUUCUCAGGACUCUGAGGGGGAAGAUUAGCCCUGAGCUAAUAUUCGCCACCGAUCCUCCUCUUUUUGCUGAGGAAGACUGGCCCUGAGCUAACAUCCGUGCCCAUCUUCCUCUACCUUAUGUGUGGGACGCCUGCCAAAGCAGGGCUUGCCAAGCGGUGCCACGUCCGCACCCGGGAUCUGAACUGGCAAACCCCCGGCCAUGGAAGCGGAAUGUGCACACUUAACCACUGCGCCACCAGGCCGGCCCCUCCUUGUACUUUUCUGAGUUGUUUCAUGGACUUAACUUCACAUCGUGCAGCACUCAUUAAGCACCUACUCGGCACCUGGCAACAGGGCAUGGCCAUGGCCUUCGGACUCAGGAGUUGGCCCCUCAGCCCACAGAAGGGGGACACCAUGGCUUGCAGUUUUCUCUGCAGAGUAACCUUAUGGACUCAUAGACUCCGACAAUAUCCUCAUGGCUAAGUAGAGGAUCUCACAGGACGCCUACCACAGCAUGGCUUGCCAAGCGGUGCCAUGUCCGCACCCGCAAUCCGAACCGGGGAACCCCGGGCCACCAAAGCAGAAUGUGCGCACCCAACCACUGCGCCACCGGGCCGGCCCCCAUGGCAGGCUUUUGAGCAGAGGAGUGACAUGGCAGAUCUGAGCACCACAGCCACAGAGUGAUGAUGGCCUGGAGGGCAGACUGGCGCAGGGAGACAGUGAGGAGGCGGCACAGGGUCCUGGUGAUGAUACAAGACCCUAGUCUGAAUUACAUCCGCGAAGACUCUUUUUCCGAACAAGGUCGCAGUCACAGGUUCCAGGCGGACCUGCCCUCUAGGGGCCACCAUGCACCAAGAUCCUAAACUCUGAUCCCAGCGCUCCAUGCCAGACAGAGAG